CGGACGGGUGAGUAACGCGUAGGAAUCUGCCUACUAGCGGGGGAUAGCCCGAAGAAAUUCGGAUUAAUACCGCAUAAGCCCUACGGGGGAAAGCUGGGGAUCUUCGGACCUGGCACUAGUAGAUGAGCCUGCGUUAGAUUAGCUUGUUGGUGGGGUAAUGGCCUACCAAGGCGACGAUCUAUAGCUGGUCUGAGAGGACGAUCAGCCACGCUGGGACUGAGACACGGCCCAG
rnacentral:rRNA from 1 species